rnacentral:lncRNA from 1 species
UCAAACUUUCUAAUGUAAAAUUUAAGUUUUACAGCUAUAUGUCACAGAUCUUGAAUAAAUAGUAUGAAGCAGGAACUUUAUUCAUCUGACAGUAGAUUGAACUUUCGAUCGCCUGGUUACAGGUAACUUUUUCAGGUAUAUGUGAAUGAUAGAUAAUUUAUAAUGCUUCUAAGAAAACAGUUAAAUAUUCAAUACUUAAUUGUUGCAGUUCUCUAUUAUUUUUUUUAAAAAGUACAAAUAUGUUAGUAAAAUCACUCUGAACCUAGGACUUACAACAGCCUCUAAACAUUUUCAGAUGAAAGAGUGUGCAUAUAUCUAGUUAUCAGAGGUAUAUGCCUAUAUGUAUGAAUUGAUGUAGUUGGAGAAAUCAGAUCGCUUCAGUGCAUGACUAUGCUACAGGAUGAUACAAGAUCACAGACAGAAAUUCGAUCAAGGAUCAAACAUAAAUUACAUAAUACUUCAACUAAAUUAAAUGCAUGGCUGGAAUGAAGUUCCUGACCCUGGUGAUGAUUUUAGAAAGCAAAGAGACAUUCUGAUGCCACCUUGUAUUGAGCCUGUAAUACUCCAAAAUGAUUUUGUUGUAUUCAUAAUUUUCUAUCAAAUAAUCUUUCAAAUUUAAGCUAAGUUAAUUUUUAUUAUUCUUAACCACAAGUGUAAAAGCCGCUGGCAGAUGUAUUAUUCCCCUUUGAAUUUUAUUCUUUUUGUUCUUUUAUGAAACCCAGAUCUGUCUCAACAUUAGAUUAAAAUAAUUUUGUAAUGAUACUGUUUCUUCUUUUUUAGUUUUGUGUCAAUAUCAGCAAUGUUUUCCAAUGGUUUUCCAUCAAACCUUUCCAUACUUUUGCAAAGAAUUCUUCUAAAAAAUUCCUUCAACUUUAAUGCGAUGAUUUUCAAUGUUCAAAGAGUUCCAUGGACUUUCAACUGCAUUUUCACAGGGCUGCUCCCAUGGGUAUGUGAGUUUAAAUUUAAAUUAAUUUUCAGACUUUUUUUUUUCAUGCCGUUUUUCCGAACUUUUCCAUGGGACAUGUACAGACUGGUGUUUUUGUGACAUAAACACUUUCUAGUUUUAGUUUAUGUUUGGGAUCAUGCAAGAUAUCUGGACAGUUUUUUUAAAUUCAAAAUCAAGAAUUUAUUUAAUUCGGCAAAACAAACAUUUUGGUUAUCUUACAGUAUUUGUUCAUUGCUGUGAAAUUGAUAAUUGCAUGCAUUUAAAUAACUUUUUACAUUAUUCUUUUGAUCAUAAAUAUAUGUAUAAAAAUGUAUAUAUUGAUUUGUCAAUAAUGUUUGAUUAAUGUGUUCUUACGAAAACUUAAAUAAAAGGCAAUUGAUGAUAUGCCUUUUAUUUAUAUUUUGAUAAAAGGUCUCUCUGCCUUUUAUUCGUAUUUUGUUUCCUAUAUUUUAUUUGCAAUUUGUUUCUCAUAUAUAAUGAAUGUGAAUGCCUUUUGUUAGUAUUUUGUUACUACCUUUUAUUCAUGUUUUGUUUCUUUGAAACAAAAUAUUAAUAAAAGGUCUCUCUGCCUUUUAUUCAUAUUUUGUUUCCUAUAUUUUAUUUGCAAUUUGUUUCUCAUGUAAUGAAUGUGAAUGCCUUUUGUUAGUAUUUUGUUACUACCUUUUAUUCAUGUUUUAUUUGCCUUUUGUUAUCUCAUUUGCAUAUCAUUUGCUAGGCUAAUAAAAGGUCUUCAAAACAUAACAU